UGUCGUUAUAAAGAGUACAGUAUGAUAAUUAUAAAUUUAUAGAGACACGUUGUUACAAAAACGAAGAGAGAAUACCUAUAUCAUUAUAAUGAAGCUGUAAUUGUAUUGUUGGGGUAAUGAAUAAUAGUAAUUUCGUUAUAGAGAGAAUAUGAUAUUUUUGUCGUUAUAUUAACAUAUUGUCACAGAGAUGAAGAUCUAAUUCCUUUAACGUUAUAUUGAAGUCAUUAUGACAUUGCUGUCGUUAUACGUAACGAUAUUGUCGUUAUAGAGAGGUUAUGAAUUUUACGACAUCAAAAGGAUUUUAUUAAAUUGAUUUCGUUUAAAGUUAUUAUAAUGAUGUCGCUAUCAAUUUGUCGGCUUUAAGUAUGUUAUUACAAAUAAUUAUUUUUAAAAAAUUACAGGGUGGAUUCUCUACACAGGAUGAGAUGUGCGAGUCAUUUCUUAUGUACUAUCCUCGUACGCACCUGGACAUCUGAUUUAGUCUGCCCCUGUAUAACACGAUAACUGACAAUGCUGAUCUACUGUUUCCUGUGCUCAAGUCAUGGAACUGGACCGAUCCGGCAGUUAGAGCUAACUUCCGGUCAGCGCUAGACAACUCGCUGUAUGACCAUUACCUCUUGGGAGACACUGACGCAUUUAAUGGAAACAUUACCAAAAUGGAGCACCCAACACAAAACCCGUAUGUAAAACCUCAGGAUACCAGAUGCCAGCAUUAGUCUGUUCCUUUCCCAUGCUUGAUUUUCUGAACUGAAAAAUAGUGAACAAUUGCAAAAGGGACACAUUUUUAAAAUUAUUUGAUUAUAUAGUGAUCUAUAAGUAAUAUAUGUAUUUUGGCGUGUGUGUGUACAUCUAUCAUCAUUUAUAAUAUUCAGAAUAUUCAGCUCCUGGUAAUUUAUGCAAUUGUAAAUAAAGGAAAUACAUUCGUUAUUCAUUUGCCGAAGUAUUUUCAUCAUUUGAACCUUUUCUCAAAAUGUAAAACAGAACCGUACGCGUCAAAUGAUUGUUUUGUAUGUUAUUAUCCUGAUUGAACCUUUCGUUAAGAGAAGGUAACACAUACCAGUGACAGAAGACUAGAUUUAUUUCUUUUGAAAUAACAAGGAUAAAUAUUCACAUCUCAAUUCUACACAAAUCACUUAUCAUUAUGCUGUUUUUACAGAGAAAAAACGUUUCAAUAUUUUAAUUAAUCGAAACUUCUUUGCCUGUAAAUUACAGACAUUUGAUAAUAUCACAGUAUGCUUAUUUAAGGUAUUUGUAAUUAAGAAGAAAUACUGAAUCAUUUAAUGGACACAUGUAUGCUAUCUGGUAUGUUUGAUAUAUGAAAAAUGUUAAAGUUACGGACUAAUUUGUUUGCAAUGUCGAAGGCAAAGUAUACAUCUCACAGCACUAUAUUUAUACAUUGUAAAAAUAACACUUUAUACGUAUAUAAAUAACACUUCGUUGCUGACAUCUCAUAUUGGGUUAAUUCAUAUACGUGAUAAUUCAUCGAAAUUAGAAUCAGGCGAUCAUAAUCAAAGCCAUCUAAAAGUGUCGAACCAAAUGCAUAUAAUAACAAACCUAAACUUUAUCACAACUCACAAGCAAAUGUCCACAAAUACAGGUUGAUAAAGAUGACUAAAAAUUGUAAAUAUCGUAACCAAAUAUGCUCAGAUCGUCUUCUUCGAGAACUACACUUCAUCAAGUAGAUUAACGUGGCCUUUAUUGGAAAAUAUAAAAGUAUAAAUAUCAGAGACACCAAACAGUGGUAUAUAAUAAAUGACGUAACAGUUGUAAAAUGGGUGUAGAGAACACUGUUUUUGCUAACUGGUUUUUAUAUCAAGGAUUGUGUAUUUUUGCCUUUAUUCAGUAACCUCCCCUUAACUUCCGUUUGGAUAUAAUGUAGUAGCACGUUGGAUCCAAGACUCUUCUAUUUACCGAUACCGCAAUUGGUUAGAGCGGUGUUAUAUCAAUCUGAAGUCCAGUGCUGGAAUCUCGGUCUAGCCUUGUUGAUGCUAUUUAAUCUCAAAACACUGCUCUCAAUUUCACUUUGUUUUUGUCGUUUAUGUUUUUCUUAUUAAAGCCGUGCAAGGUAUGUUAUUUUCAGAAAUAUUUUAUCAAAGCAGUAGUCAUGCCAGAAAAACAGCUUCCAACCAUUCGUUACAGUUCUUGGCAUUAGGUGGGGAUCAUUAAAUCACAUAACAAACUAAUUGUCAUAUUUCCGUAAGUAAAAGCAUAAUAAAUAAAAAAUCAGCACGUGGUUGUUGAUCACCAUGUUUUUGUUGUUUAUUUAGUGGUUGUAGUUCACCAAGUGGUUGUUGUUCACCAAGUUGUUGUUGUUCAUCAGUUUGUUGUUGUUCAUUAAGUGUUUGUAGUUCACCAAGUGAUUGAUGUUCAUCAGGUUGUUGUUAUUCAUUAAGUAAUUGUAGUUUACCAAGUUGUUGUUCAUCAGGUUGUUGUUGUUCAUUAAGUGGUUGUAGUUCACCAAGUUGUUGUUGUUCAUCAGGUUGUUGUUGUUCAUUUAGUGGUUGUUGUUCAUUAAGUUGUUGUUGUUCAUUUAGUGGUUGUAGUUCACCAAGUGGUUGAUGUUCAUCAGGUUCUUGUUGUUCAUUUAGUAGUUGUUGUUCAUUAAGUUGUUGUUGUUCAUUUAGUGAUUGUAGUUCACCAAGUUGUUGUUGUUCAUCAGUUUUUUGUUGUUCAUUUAGUAGUUGUAGUUCACCAAGUGGUUGAUGUUCAUCAGGUUGUUGUUGUUCAUCAGGUUGUUGUUAUUCAUUAAGUGGUAGUAGUUCACCAAGUUGUUGUUGUUCAUCAGGUUGUUGUUGUUCAUUUAGUGGUUAUAGUUCACCAAGUUGUUGUUGUUCAUCAGGUUGUUGUUGUUCAUUUAGUGGUUGUAGUUCAACAAGUGGUUGUAGUUCACCAAGUGGUUGUUGUUCAUUAAGUUGUUGUUGUUCAUUUAGUGGUUGUAGUUCACCAAGUGGUUGAUGUUCAUCAGGUUCUUGUUGUUUAUCAGGUUGUUGUUAUUCAUUAAGUGGUAGUGGUUCACCAAGUUGUUGUUGUUCAUCAGGUUGUUGGUGUUCAUUAAGUGGUAGUAGUUCACCAAGUUGUUGUUGUUCAUCAGGUUGUUGUUGUUCAUUUAGUGGUAGUAGUUCACCAAGUUGUUGUUGUUCGUCAAGUUGUUGUUGUACAUUAAGUGGUAGUA
rnacentral:lncRNA from 1 species